rnacentral:rRNA from 1 species
AUAUCAAUAAGCGGAGGAAAAGAAACCAACAGGGAUUGCCUCAGUAACGGCGAGUGAAGCGGCAACAGCUCAAAUUUGAAAUCUGGCUCUUUCAGGGUCCGAGUUGUAAUUUGUAGAAGAUGCUUUGGGUGAGGCUCCGGCUCAUGAUGUCCUUGGAACAGGACGCAUAGAGGGUGAGAAUCCCGUACGUGACUGGUUGCCUUCGCCCGUGUAAAGCUCUUUCAACGAGUCGAGUUGUUUGGGAAUGCAGCUCAAAAUGGGUGGUAAAUCUCAUCUAAAGCUAAAUAUUGGCCAGAGACCGAUAGCGCACAAGUA